rnacentral:misc_RNA from 1 species
UCCAGUUUGGCACCGGCAGUCUCCGAUGAGUCCCCGGCAUUACCCGCUGGCAACAUCGGACAGGGGUUGCGCUCGUUGCGCCACUUAAGGCAACACCUCACGGCACGAGCUGACGACAGCCAUGCAGCACCUGUGCAGGCUCCCGAAGGAGCACCGGCUUUCACCGGUUUCACUCUGCAUGUCAAGCCCUGGUAAGGUGGGGAUGACGUAGAGGAACACCAAC